rnacentral:tRNA from 1 species
CGUCGAGGUCGGCGGGCAGCGCCUCGCCGGCGUGCGGCCGGCAGAGCACCGGUUCGAGGCCGGCCUCGGCCA